UCCAAUUUAGGGCUUUGCAGGGGCUCCCUCCAGGGCUCUCUCAAUGGAUUUAUAUCACAGCCAGAUAGCAUCUUCGAAAGCUCAUCUGAGCUGGAAAAUAGAGAAACAUCCUUCUCCAUUGUCAAGUGACAAGCGAUGGUACCCAGGCUGCUGACUCUUCAAUCCUGCAAAUCUUGAAACAAAGACUUCCCUGUCCUCUCGGCUUGUCACCUGUAGGCAUGAAGAUGUCAGCUCCCUGGCCAACCACCAGGUGCCGGGACCUCAGGAGGUUUCCAGAAUGAAGGAAUCUGUGUCUAUGUCUGCUGUCCAGGCCUGCAGCGAAGUGGUGACCAGUGGAGAGGCCAGGUGGUGUAGGGGCUGCACCCAGCUUGCUGCUCGGUAUAAAAUGGAAAUUUGGAGCUGUUUGCAGGUCUUCUCACCCCCACACUGAGAAGGGAGCAGGCAGACUUUGCGCCUGAAGACAAGAACACAGUGCUGGGUAACACAAGCAGCUGGUUCUUAUGUAAAUAUUGACGGAGUUGCUACCCCGGUCCUGGCAGUGGGUGGGAGCCCUUUGACGGUAAGAGAAUGCACCAUUGUGGUCCAUUGUGAGGUGUGGGGUGAGUAGGACACAGGGCUAAGUCUGAGCACGACAGAACUGUGGGCUGAACAGGAUCACCAUGUGGGCCUCCACUUGCUCCUUACUCCAUAUCUACCUUCUGCAGAUCUCUCUGGCAUCCCUGGAGCGGGCCUACCUGUAUGGGAUCCACCUCAGCGGAUAGCCAGCAGCAUACCAGGUUCCUGCCCACACAGUGCUCCUGUUCCUAUGCUAGGUCUCCCUCCGGACCCUUGCUACAGAUCCUCUGCAGCUUGCAGCCCACUGGCUCCUUCCCAUUUUCCUGUCCAGCCCCUCCCCUCGUUCAUCUUCGGCUGGGUUCACUGCGCUGUUCAUUGCUCCUGGCAUUUCUGGCCUGCCCAGGAUGCUCUCAGCCUGGGAAUGCUCUGAGCUCUCUGCCACCAUUCUCAGCUCCAGGCUCAGGGCUCAGUCCCUGGAGAGAGGUCUAGACUCUGGCCAUGGCCUCUCCAUGUCACCAGCAGCAGGUGGGCUGGCCGUCACAUGGGCCAGUGGCCUGUGAUCCAUCUUCUCCUCACAACCCAGGUUUUCUCAGUCAAUGGUUUCCAUUUCCUCCAUGGAACUGCUAGGAUCAAAGGCUGCCCGGGAAGCUCGUUGACUGGCCAGGGGAUAAACAUGUGCACUGGAGGCCAACCCAGGGCCUGAAGGACAACCCACUACGGGGUUGGGGGGGGCAACAUGGCAGUGUGUUGGAUCAGGACUAGGUGGGUGGGAAGGGCAAAACACCUGCAGGCUGUGCUGUGGUCACUUUUGCAUGGCUGCCACAGUCCAAUGUAGGAUGAGCUACUAUGUCAUAACCAUCAGGUAUAGCACCUGCACCUGUCUCCUUCCCUCCCUGCCCCCUACCAUCCCACCAGCUUGCCCAUCAGACAGACACCUGACAGGCCCUGUACUGGGCACACAAGGCUAGACUUCCAAAGAGUAUGCCCUGCCCAAAGCAGAGAGUUGCCGAGCUAGGCAGUAGGGCCUAGAUUAUGGGACCAGCCACAUUUAGGUCGUCCCCAAGUCUUUGCUCUUGUUUUUCAAGUGACUCAUUGGGGAAAUUUUAGAUGAUUUGGUCACUGAAGUACAAAGUAGAAAAUGAGGUUUGCAGCUGUUGGGCCUGUUGGUUUUUCCAUUUCCUUUCUAUUUGCCCCAUCAGGCAGUUGGCUCAGGGAGGGAACACCUGGAUGGGCUAGUCCUGGCAACCCCGGAUGAAGAACAUCACUGGUGGUGAGUGAUCUGUGGUGCCAACAGCAGGAGGGGAAAAAGAAGGAGGAGGAGGAGUAGGAAGGGGAGGAGGAGGAGGAAAAGGAGG
rnacentral:sRNA from 1 species